AUGCCCACGCCUUGGGGAGAGGCUGCAUCUACUUCUGCUUUCUCUUCCUUUUCUCUUCUGUGAAAAGAGAUGGCAUAUAUUAUAUAUAAUAUAUAAUAUAUUAUUAUGUGGCCUAUUUGAGAAGAUUUUGUGUUUAAAUAAGAACGGGGUAUUUGAACAAGAUAUUUUAUCCUAGAUGGUCUAAGGAGAGUUCGAGAAGGGUAUGGGGAGGGGAUAGGAAAGAGGAGGAGCAACUACCUGCGUAAUUUUUUUAAUAUCAGAAACCAUCUUUAGAAUCGGUCUAUGGUUAGUAAACAUUUCUAAUAAGAUUUAGUCAGAUACAGUGCAAAGAACAAGGUUUUGAACCAAAUAGGCCUCCCACGCAAACUUUGGAGUAUAAAAGAAAGAAAGAAAGAGUGAGCAGGAGGAAGGGAGGAUAGGGAGAAUCACUGGUUAUACCUCUCCCCUCAGGUAAUAUCAGCUGGGACUCUUGUUGGACCAGACAACAACUUCUAAAGCAGCAGUGAGACAUGACUUUGGCAACAGCGAGAUAUGCAAAGCAGAGUCUGAGCUAGUAAAUCGGCCAGGUAGAGCGAAGAAGCUGUAGGAUGCAACAGGCGCCUUUCUUGUGUUGGAAACUGGAAUAGGAGCACGCAGAAGGCAAUGGUCCUAGAAGUGAAGGAGGAGAGAGCGAGCUGUCAGUGGGGCUCCUAUAAAGGAGGAAGAGUUGGACUGUUACUUUAAAAUGUGGGCUGGGGCAUCGUAAGUUCAAGCACUAAUAUAAAACUGAUUGACUCCUCUUGCUUCUCAGAUGUUCAGUUACACUAUUUGGAUAGAUGGGCACUUCCCUCUGAAAGUACAGAAUAUGAAAGAUGUGAUCAGUUCAACAUUUAAUACACUCAUAUACUAUUUUAAGACAUUUAAAGUUAAAAUAAUGGGAAACAAGUUAUGCAUAGGAAUAUAUAUAAAAUGUUCUGUUCUCUAUGAAUGGUAAGAAUUGAGACUUUUGAGAAAUGUAUGUAUCUCAAAACAUGUAUAAAGUGGGUUCCCUUGGAUUUUUUUGGUAUGGUUUGUCAUUGAUUCAAUCUUUCUCGUUUGAAAAGGGGAAAAAAAAGACCUUGGCAUGUGAUGCUGCCUUUCAUCUCACCAGUGACAUGUUGUUUCUGAGGAGCAGAGCAUCAUAGUUUCUGCUGUUUCUAUCCCCCUCCUCUUUUGGAGUACUGUAUAUUUGUAAAAAUUAUUAUUUAAUACUUUAUGCUUUUUUAAUUGGCUAAAAUUAAUCUUAAAUAUUUGUAUAUGCUGCUUUUUCUCUUUGAAAGGAAACUGCAGAAACCAAUGUAUACCAACUUAGCAUUCACCAAAAGCAUCUAUUUUUAUGAAAAAGAUGGAAAUGAUGCAGUCAUAAAUUACUUAUGUGGCUAACAAGGUUUUAUUUUCAAAAACUUCUGAGACAAGGAUUGUAGAUUGGGCAAAACCUUCUGACAUCUGAAUUUGGGAUGCUAGUAAAAGGAAGAAUCUAUGACAAAACAAACUAGAAAUACCAAGGGGAAGUAAUGUUUUAUAUUUGAGAUGUAGCUGCUUUCAGUCUUAUGUGAUUCAUAUAUUAAUAAAAUAAUAAACAAUA